rnacentral:rRNA from 1 species
CCUACGGGGUGCAGCAGUGAGGAAUAUUGGUCAAUGGACGAGAGUCUGAACCAGCCAAGUAGCGUGAAGGAUGACUGCCCUAUGGGUUGUAAACUUCUUUUAUAUGGGAAUAAAAUGUUCCACGUGUGGGAUUUUGUAUGUACCAUAUGAAUAAGGAUCGGCUAACUCCGUGCCAGCAGCCGCGGUAAUACGGAGGAUCCGAGCGUUAUCCGGAUUUAUUGGGUUUAAAGGGAGCGUAGGUGGAUUGUUAAGUCAGUUGUGAAAGUUUGCGGCUCAACCGUAAAAUUGCAGUUGAAACUGGCAGUCUUGAGUACAGUAGAGGUGGGCGGAAUUCGUGGUGUAGCGGUGAAAUGCUUAGAUAUCACGAAGAACUCCGAUUGCGAAGGCAGUUCACUGGACUGCAACUGACACUGGGGCUCGAAAGUGUGGGUAUCAAACAGGAUUAGAUACCCGAGUAGUC